GUUCGUGAACUUCGCAUGAAUGGUGACCCUUUUCAUCCGUUUCUUAACUUCGUUAUCUGGAUGACAGCUGGCACUGCUUGAACUAACGGAAGCAGGCUCCGUGAAUGAAGUGGAACAACAAGGGUCCUUGUUUGCUGUUGCUAGAGAUAUCGGUGUGCACCCUUUUAGAUCUGGCUUGUUUACGUUUGCUCCUCCUUCUAGAAGAAGCCGUACCAUUUCUAAAUGGCCGUUCUUUACGGCAACAUGAAGAGCAGUUUGUCCUUCCUCUGCUGGAAAAGAAGAUUACCAGCUGGAAAAGGCACUCGUGGGAAACGCCGCGAAACAAAUGGACGUUUUGCACAAUCGGGUAAAAAAGAUGGCGUGAAAUGCUCGCACGGAUGGCUUUUGGCAGACAGUUUAACGUAUCUUGAUGUUUUAACCCCUGGGUUUUGUAAUCCAGACAGAUGUGUGACAAUAUUUGAUCUUUUAUCUGCGGUGGAAGCUGAUUCCGUUUCGCAAAUUCUGAAGCAGCUGCGACUUUAUCUCUCUACACCACCAAAAACAUUGUUCAGAAUCCGGAACGACAAAAAAAACAGAAAGUUGUCAACAAGAUAACUUACAAAAUCUCUGGUAUUUCCUGUCCAAUGAACGACAAGAUUUGUCAUGUUCCCGAUAAGGUACGAUGUUAAUCCCAAGUUGAAUAGCAUAUAGCCGAUAUCGAACACCAUUUCUCUUGCAUUCUCAGCGUGAAAGUCUCCGUAACCAGUAGUUGUUAGAGUCACAAUCGACCAAUACAGUGAUGUUACGUAUCUAUUCCAGAUGCUUUCGGUUUUGAAAUUUGGAUAAACCGCACCUAUCCAAGUUUUACUUGGGUCGGGAUAUCUAUCUGCUAUCAAGUAGUUAAAGCAUCCGGCACAGUGUACCGCAAACAGAGUCACCUGAAUUUACAAACCGAGAGGAGGCUGAGAGAUCUAAACGGCACAGUUGAGCUCACGUCAAAUAUAAACCAUGUUGACAGAUGGCCCAAGAGACACAAACAAUGCCUUAAAACAUAGUUUUCUUUGUGUGGUGUAAGGUGGGUUAGAUUAGACUCCAUGCACAGGGGUUGGUGCUUUAGUGGCCCUUUUGUGAUGGUGCUCAAUUACCAUA